GUGUGUAGUGUGUGUCUAUCUGCAUAUGUGUGUAUGUGUGUGUAGCUUGUGUUUGUCUACUAUUUGUGAAAAAUAACAUCAGAAUGUACACUGGUUCACAGAAGAAGAUAGCUGGGAAGAGGGUCCCCCGCAUGCCUGGCAGCCUGUGGACAGAGGAUGGAGAACGCGGAGCCUCCUUUGUGCCUGGGCCUCUCAUGCGCCCUGCCCGGGGAGCGGGUGCUCCAAGCCUGAGGCCCUGCCCUCUCCCUGCCUGCCUGCUCUGUGGCUGCUGUGGGGCACAGUCCUGAGGCCGAGGGAAGGCGCUGGCUGCUCCGCGCCCGCUCAUGGCGUCCCCUGCCUUCCCUGGCCCCUCACCUGCGGUCCCACCUCCCGCCCUCGGCCUCAGGGCGGGGCGCGACUGGGGCCCAUGGAGCGUCUGCCGCCCAGGACCGAGCUGGACACCUCUGCCUGCCCCAGACCGGGGAGUCGCUCCCAAAUCGGAGCUCCGCCUCUGUGCCUCCUCCGGAACGUGCGUGUCCGUGCCUCCCGUGCCCCGCCGGAGUCUCAGGUGAGAGCCAUGCGCGCCAGCUGUGCCGCAGCCUCGCGAACUCCACCCAAGAGCGUCGUAUCCGCGGGCACUGAGAGGUCGGGGACAGGCGUCCCAAGCGCGGCUCCGGGGCCCCUCCAGCGGGCUGCAGGCUGCUCCUCUCCGGCGGUCACCUCCCCUUCCCCACGCGCCUCCCCGCAGCUGCCGCCCGCCUGGCGGACACAUGCCCUCCUUGACACCCGCCACGGGAGGAGGCUCAGCAGGCUGAGGGCAUGAAAGCGGCUGUGGGAAGCUUCUUUGGCCUAUUCCCUCUCCUGGAACUCCAUGAAAUGUGAAAUGGGGGCCACUCCUCAGCUGGGUGUGCCACCCAGCAACUGCUGGGCUCCAGCUUCUCCUGCAUGCAGCAAAGCUUGGAAGCCCCUCAGCCCCGCCACACUGUACUCACCUUCAUCCAGUGCAGCUAUGCAGGGCCUGCUCCAGACACCUCCCGAGGUCCCUCCAUCCAACCACAUCUAGAUCAGAGGCUGCCAAGGAGGCUCAGGACCGCAUAGACUUGAAUGGCAGGGGACAAGCUCAGGAUGGCUUGAGACCUGAAUGUUUCUUUUCAUGAGACUAUAUGGUGUACAAUAUGAUGUUUUGAUAUAAGUAUACAUUUUGAAAUGAUUAAAUUGAGCCAAUUAACAUAUUGAUCAC
rnacentral:lncRNA from 1 species